UGGGGAAUAUUGGACAAUGGGCGCAAGCCUGAUCCAGCCAUGCCGCGUGAGUGAUGAAGGCCUUAGGGUUGUAAAGCUCUUUCACCGGUGAAGAUAAUGACGGUAACCGGAGAAGAAGCCCCGGCUAACUUCGUGCCAGCAGCCGCGGUAAUACGAAGGGGGCUAGCGUUGUUCGGAUUUACUGGGCGUAAAGCGCACGUAGGCGGACUUUUAAGUCAGGGGUGAAAUCCCGGGGCUCAACCCCGGAACUGCCUUUGAUACUGGAAGUCUUGAGUAUGGUAGAGGUGAGUGGAAUUCCGAGUGUAGAGGUGAAAUUCGUAGAUAUUCGGAGGAACACCAGUGGCGAAGGCGGCUCACUGGACCAUUACUGACGCUGAGGUGCGAAAGCGUGGGGAGCAAACAGG
rnacentral:rRNA from 1 species